UACGGCCAUAUCACAUUGAAACACCGGGUCUCGUACUCUCGCCAAAGUUAAGCGGCAUCGAGCAUGAUCAGUACCUAGAUGGCUGACCACUUGGAAAUACCAGGUGCU